rnacentral:rRNA from 1 species
GGGUUGUGAGGUUAAGCGACUAAGCGUACACGGUGGAUGCCCUGGCAGUCAGAGGCGAUGAAGGGCGUGCUAAUCUGCGAUAAGCGCCGGUAAGGUGAUAUGAACCGUUAUAACCGGCGAUACCCGAAUGGGGAAACCCAGUGUGACUCGUCACACUAUCAUUAACUGAAUCCAUAGGUUAAUGAGGCGAACCGGGGGAACUGAAACAUCUAAGUACCCCGAGGAAAAGAAAUCAACCGAGAUUCCCCCAGUAGCGGCGAGCGAACGGGGAGGAGCCCAGAGCCUGAAUCAGCAUGUGUGUUAGUGGAAGCGUCUGGAAAGGCGCGCGAUACAGGGUGACAGCCCCGUACACAAAAGCGCAUGUGCUGUGAGCUCGAUGAGUAGGGCGGGACACGUGGUAUCCUGUCUGAAUAUGGGGGGACCAUCCUCCAAGGCUAAAUACUCCUGACUGACCGAUAGUGAACCAGUACCGUGAGGGAAAGGCGAAAAGAACCCCGGCGAGGGGAGUGAAAAAGAACCUGAAACCGUGUACGUACAAGCAGUGGGAGCACAGGUUUACCUGUGUGACUGCGUACCUUUUGUAUAAUGGGUCAGCGACUUAUAUUCUGUAGCAAGGUUAACCGAAUAGGGGAGCCGGAGGGAAACCGAGUCUUAACCGGGCGUUAAGUUGCAGGGUAUAGACCCGAAACCCGGUGAUCUAGCCAUGGGCAGGUUGAAGGUUGGGUAACACUAACUGGAGGACCGAACCGACUAAUGUUGAAAAAUUAGCGGAUGACCUGUGGCUGGGGGUGAAAGGCCAAUCAAACCGGGAGAUAGCUGGUUCUCCCCGAAAGCUAUUUAGGUAGCGCCUCGUGAAUUCAUCUCCGGGGGUAGAGCACUGUUUCGGCUAGGGGGCCAUCCCGGCUUACCAACCCGAUGCAAACUGCGAAUACCGGAGAAUGUUAUCACGGGAGACACACGGCGGGUGCUAACGUCCGUCGUGAAGAGGGAAACAACCCAGACCGCCAGCUAAGGUCCCAAAGUCAUGGUUAAGUGGGAAACGAUGUGGGAAGGCCCAGACAGCCAGGAUGUUGGCUUAGAAGCAGCCAUCAUUUAAAGAAAGCGUAAUAGCUCACUGGUCGAGUCGGCCUGCGCGGAAGAUGUAACGGGGCUAAACCAUGCACCGAAGCUGCGGCAGCGACGCUGAUGCGUUGUUGGGUAGGGGAGCGUUCUGUAAGCCUGUGAAGGUGGCCUGUGAGGGUUGCUGGAGGUAUCAGAAGUGCGAAUGCUGACAUAAGUAACGAUAAAGCGGGUGAAAAGCCCGCUCGCCGGAAGACCAAGGGUUCCUGUCCAACGUUAAUCGGGGCAGGGUGAGUCGACCCCUAAGGCGAGGCCGAAAGGCGUAGUCGAUGGGAAACGGGUUAAUAUUCCCGUACUUGGUGUUACUGCGAAGGGGGGACGGAGAAGGCUAUGUUGGCCGGGCGACGGUUGUCCCGGUUUAAGCGUGUAGGUGUGUGUUCCAGGUAAAUCCGGUUCACUUUAACACUGAGGCGUGAUGACGAGGCACUACGGUGCUGAAGCAACAAAUGCCCUGCUUCCAGGAAAAGCCUCUAAGCAUCAGGUAACAUCAAAUCGUACCCCAAACCGACACAGGUGGUCAGGUAGAGAAUACCAAGGCGCUUGAGAGAACUCGGGUGAAGGAACUAGGCAAAAUGGUGCCGUAACUUCGGGAGAAGGCACGCUGACACGUAGGUGAAGUGAUUUACUCAUGGAGCUGAAGUCAGUCGAAGAUACCAGCUGGCUGCAACUGUUUAUUAAAAACACAGCACUGUGCAAACACGAAAGUGGACGUAUACGGUGUGACGCCUGCCCGGUGCCGGAAGGUUAAUUGAUGGGGUCAGCGCAAGCGAAGCUCCUGAUCGAAGCCCCGGUAAACGGCGGCCGUAACUAUAACGGUCCUAAGGUAGCGAAAUUCCUUGUCGGGUAAGUUCCGACCUGCACGAAUGGCGUAAUGAUGGCCAGGCUGUCUCCACCCGAGACUCAGUGAAAUUGAACUCGCUGUGAAGAUGCAGUGUACCCGCGGCAAGACGGAAAGACCCCGUGAACCUUUACUAUAGCUUGACACUGAACAUUGAGCCUUGAUGUGUAGGAUAGGUGGGAGGCUUUGAAGUGUGGACGCCAGUCUGCAUGGAGCCGACCUUGAAAUACCACCCUUUAAUGUUUGA